UCCCUAGUGGUCCUGUAGUUAGGACUGUACUCUUACUGCUGAGGGCCCAGGUUCAAUUCCUGGUUCGGGAA
rnacentral:tRNA from 1 species